UUAUAACUUUCAUUUUCCCCUCUCAACUGUUGCCCGAACUUCUAUGGUUCAUAGUUUAAUCAAUGAUUAAGAGACGCUAAUCUGGCUCAGCACUGACGAGCCAUCCAGCUGCAAACUGUUACCUGUACACUCAAUGACAAGACUUUCCUCGUCUACCGUGAAGUCACUUUAACAUCUGCCGGCUAAGAUUUGCCUUGAGCACCAUGUAAUGUCAGUGCUGUUUUAUUUUGGUUUACAUCACUUGUUGAGCCAUCCAGGGGCUGCAACAGAACCCUGUGACCCUGUAAAGGGAGAAGUGGGUAUAGAUGGACAGAUUACAUCAUUGAUAAUUACAGUCCUCUUGAAGUUCAGUUUGCAAACCAUUUGGACUUUAAAUAUAAGUAACUUUUAAUUAGACUACACAUACAUUUAUACAUACAAUCAGGUAAUUGAUGUUAACUAUACAUCAUGGAACAUAAUUAACUACUGGAUACAAUCAUUAUGUACAUUAACAGUUUGAACAGCUCAAAAAAAACAUUCUUUCAAGCUUUUUAAUUUCACAGGAUUUGGAGCCAACACUUUGCAGUGAUGCGUGUGGUGAUAAUCAGGUAAAGUCUGUCACCAUCAGGACAUCAGAGGUAAAAGGAAACUCCUUAGGAUGUGAAAAGCUUUGAAAUACUCCCUUUUGUUGGAAGAUUUUGAUCCAGGUUUUUCUUUUAAAUGAACAUCAUGUCUUUAUUUUUCCUCUCAGCACCAGGUAGCUGCGCUGAAGUUGUUCUGGCUGUAUAACACAAGUCGCCAUGUUGGAAAACCUGUGCGGUUUAAGAAAAUACUCUCAUCCAGCUCUGAGUCAGAAAAGAAACCAGGAAACACAUCUAUUCUUAAGUCUUUUUCACUGCUUUACAGGAGACAGAAUUCAAACAUUUGUGAUAUCAAGCGGUUGAGUUACUGAAGCCUAAACAGCGGAUGUUACCUGACAUGUAAGCCCAAGUUGCUCUUCUCCACCUCUGCCGUCUCCUGCUCAGUCGCCUGAUCCUCAGCCUCCCCUCUCUGCGUUGUGUGGCUGUUUGUUUUGUGAGAAACCGUCCCGAGCAUCUUGGUGCUGUGCUCCAGCGCCUUCGCUCGCAGCACAGCGAUGCUGUUUUCCCUCAGUUCCUCUUCAGAAACCGAGGAGCUACUGUGCCUACUCUGCUGCUGCUGCUUCUCCUCCUCCAGCGUUUUCUCCAGCGUUUUCUCCUGCACCAGUGGCGGUGUGAGACAGCUGGGUUUUUCUGGGGAGAUUAUCUUUCCAUGACCUACCGAGUAACCACGGCGCGUACGAGUCUGUGAUGCCCUCCUUGGCUGACUUGAGGAUGGACUCGGGCAGGGGGAUGGAGUGGCGGACCAUGGCUCCGUACAGGCCGUACUCCGCCAUCACGCUGCUACGACCCCAGCACUUCUCCCUCUUCCUCCACUUGGCCCUGCGGUUUUGAAACCAGACCUGUGGAAACAUCGUUUCAGACAUUGUUAUGAUCGCUGCUCUUCCUUCACUUGAACUGUAGUGAAACAAAAUCUCACAUUUCAAAAGUUUUUGACGUGAGGACAAAUGUGUUACAUAAAGCAUGUACACAGUGGGUGUCAUGAGUGUUUUGACGUUCAAUAUUUGUCCUUUUCACACAGACUGAAUUUAAGGAUAUCAUGUUGCAUUCAAAUAACAUAUUGAAUUUAUAAUUUUGUUGCAAGUUAAAUGACUCUGACAUCUCUACGUCCCACAACACAAACCGAUACAUAAUUUAUUAAUUCCAGUACUUAAAAAAAAAUUCUUUUAAUCAAAGCCACAUGUUAUAACAUGUUUAAAGCUUAAUUUUACUGCAAAC